UACGGAGGGGGCUAGCGUUGUUCGGAAUUACUGGGCGUAAAGCGCACGUAGGUGGCGACGUAAGUCGGGUGUGAAAGCCCCGGGCUCAACCUGGGAAUUGCAUUCGAGACUGCAUUGCUGGAGUACGGAAGAGGAGGGCGGAAUUCCCGGUGUAGCGGUGAAAUGCGUAGAUAUCGGGAGGAACAUCAGUGGCGAAGGCGGCCCUCUGGUCCAGUACUGACACUCAAGUGCGAAAGCGUGGGGAGCAAACAGG
rnacentral:rRNA from 1 species